UAAUUAGUUAUCACUACUACUUUAAAACGUGAUGAGUUUAGUGGAUUACACCUAACAUAAGGCUGUAAAAUAUUGCUUCCUACAAUCUUACAAAUGUCUGAUUAGAAUAUUGUGCCUAUAUCGUUACUGUUAUAUAUUUUUUAUUGAAAUAUAUAUGUGUAUAUAAUAGGAUAUCUCACGAUGUAUCAACAAGUAUUAGUGACUGAUACAGAUAAUUUAAGAUGAUAAGGUGUUGAUGAAGGUGGAGUGUUCUUAGAUAGUGGCAUGGAUGUUUGUUGGUUAAAAACCAUGGACUUUAAGUUGGUCAGGUUUGGCCAGACCUGACUUUGUUAGCCACUGGCAUAUAUUUUCUCGCUGGUCCCCCUGCAGCUGCAACACCUCUCCGUACUCCGGGUGUUCGAUUACUGUCCCAUUGCAGGCGAACUCCUAAAACUUUUUACAUGCUCUCACUAUUUUCUUCAAGUCAUAUUCAGAUGAAAGUCCUUGUACUGUUGUUAAGGUCUUACGACCAUUCCGUUGCUGGAUCCUUAUAUGCACGAGACCGUCUUGGACAUCAUCAUCUGAACCCUUGAUUGCAUCUGCAAAGGGGUCUGCAAAAGAAAGCAAAUAUUAUGUUAAAUACUAAGAAAUUUUUCAUUUAACUGAUAAAUCAUCAUCUGAAACAAACAACUUUCAAAAUGAAAACGAUAGAAAUGUUAAUUGCGUACUAUGAUGCAAGCAAAAGACGCCAUCGCCAUUUUGAUAAAACUAUCUUCUACAAUAUGAUCAGUACUACAAAAUAGAAAAUAUUAUAUUUACCGAAUGUGUUAAGAUUCUGGAUGGACAUACGACAAACAAAAUAUAUCCCCGGGAGAUAUAGAACUGCAAAGUGCAAAUGCAGCUGUGAAAAAUUACGGAUGACGCAGGAUAACAGAAGCACCACGCAAGAAUACUGCUAAACCCAAAAAACCUUGUGCAGAAGCUGAAGUCAACCGGAAGUAAAAGUUGCAUUUGUCAUGAACAGUGGGUGGGGUUGCGCAUGCGCUCUUUCAACAAGUAAGCGUCGUUUACAUGAAAUAAAUGUUGCAUUAUUUGAUUGGUAAAACUAGACGAUAUAUUGCAUAAAAUUUCAUGUGUAUAAGUUUAAUCAUUUCUUCCAUAGAAGCAG
rnacentral:misc_RNA from 1 species